UACGGGGGGGGCAAGCGUUGUUCGGAAUUACUGGGCGUAAAGGGCUCGUAGGCGGCCAACUAAGUCAUACGUGAAAUCCCUCGGCUUAACCGGGGAACUGCGUCUGAUACUGAGUGGCUUGAGUGCAGGAGAGGAAUGCGGAAUUCCAGGUGUAGCGGUGAAAUGCGUAGAUAUCUGGAGGAACACCGGUGGCGAAGGCGGCAUUCUGGACUGUAACUGACACUGAGGAACGAAAGCCAGGGGAGCAAACGGG
rnacentral:rRNA from 1 species